rnacentral:rRNA from 1 species
AUGCGAGUCGAGAGUCUUAGGGACUCGGCGUACCGCUCAGUAACACGUGGGUAACCUGCCCUAUGCUGGGGAAUAACCUCGGGAAACUGAGAAUAAUACCCCAUAGCCCACCAUGCCUGGAACGGUUGGUGGAUCAAAGCUCCGGCGGCAUAGGAUGGGCCUGCGGCGUAUCAGGUUGUAGGGGGUGUAACGUACCCUCUAGCCAUCAACGCGUACGGGUGUUGGAAGACAUAGCCCGGAGAUGGAUUCUGAGACACGAAUCCAGACCCUACGGGGUGCAGCAGGCGCGAAAACUUGGCAAUGCNAGAAAUCGUGACCAGGGAACUCCAAGUGUCUGGGGUAAGACCCAGUCUUUUCAUGACUCUUCAAAGGUCUUGGAAUAAGAGGUGGGUAAGGACGGUGCCAGCCGCCGCGGUAAUACCGGCGCCUCANGUGGUAGUCNAUUUUAUUGGGCCUAAAACGUCCGUAGCCUGUUUGGUACAUUCNUGGGUAAAUCAACCANCUUAACUGAUUGAAUUCUGCGAGCACGGCCAGACUUGNGACCGGGAGAGGUGUGG